GACGAACGCUGGCGGCGGGCUUAACACAUGCAAGUCGAACGGAAAGGCCCUGCUUUUGUGGGGUGCUCGAGUGGCGAACGGGUGAGUAACACGUGAGUAACCUGCCCUUGACUUUGGGAUAACUUCAGGAAACUGGGGCUAAUACCGGAUAGGAGCUCCUGCUGCAUGGUGGGGGUUGGAAAGUUUAGGCGGUUGGGGAUGGACUCGCGGCUUAUCAGCUGGUUGGUGGGGUAGUGGCUUACCAAGGCUUUGACGGGUAGCCGGCCUGAGAGGGUGACCGGCGACAAUGGUACUGAGAUACGGACCAGACGCGAACGGGAGGCAGCAGUGGGGAGUAUUGCACAAUGGGCGGAAGCCUGAGGCAGCGACGCCGCGUGCGGGAUGACGGUCUUCGGGGUGUAAACCGCUUUCGCCUGUGACGAAGCGUGAGUGACGGUAAUGGGUAAAGAAGCACCGGCUAACUACGUG
rnacentral:rRNA from 1 species